UUUUUUUUUUUUUUGACAGAGACAGGGUUUCGCCAUGUUACCCAGGCUGGUCUCAAACUCUGGGGCUCAAGCAAUCCACCUGCCUUGGUCUCCCAAAGUGCUGAGAUUACAGGCGUGAGCCACCCAUCCGGUCUCUUGUUUAAAGCAAAGAACUUAAUUUAAAAUACUCUCUCAAUAAUGAUGUAUUCCAUUUUGGCAGAGGUUUAGGUAACUUAAAGAUCAUGUCUUCUAUUUUGUGUUUCUCCUGAAAUGGUAUUUCAUACAAUGUUUCCCAUUCACAAUAAUGAAGGGCCACCCAUUAGCUCUUUAUUGUUGAAUAACAUAUCCAGUAUUAAGGAGUGCGUUCUAAAGCACAUCUUUUUUUUUCAUGCAGGAGACACAGUUUUGUAAAAAGAAAAAUAAUUUCUACCUCUUACCAGAUUAAGUAAAAUGUUUUAGACAUUUUAAAAUUGGAGUAAAUGCUUUAUUUUCAGUCAUUGUGGGAUUACGAAUAUAAUGUCAAAGUCUACACAUUUGAAAAUGAUUCUUUUAGUGGUUAACCAAGAGAUUACAUUAGCCUAUCCUUAACUUACUUCAAUCUGAUUAAAAAUUAAUACUUCUUAUGCAACUAUGGGCCACUUUAAACCUGAUGCCAAAUAUACUAUUUCCAUCAUGAAAUGGCUUGUUGCCACCCAAUGUUGCUGCUUGGUGGACCUGAUAGUACUCAGUUCAUGAUGAGUAGCUUUGGUCAAACAGCUACUUGGUCAAGGGUCGGACUCUCAAUUAGUAGUAGAAUCUAUGCAGCAGCAUGCCUGGACGUGCUAUUUAAACAAUAGUUCUCUGCUGCAGAUGGUAUGGCCUUGUUCAAGAACCCUUGAAACUGCACUGUGACUCUCCUCUCAGUGCUAGCUGGAGACUCCACUGAAGGACCUUGGAUUACAGUGGGAUAUUGUAUUAGUUAUCUGUUGCUGUGGAACGAAUUAUCCCUAAAUGUAUCAGCUUGAAACAACGGUAAGCAUUAUCUUAUAUGAUUUCUGCGUCCAGAAAUCCAGAAGCAGCUUAACUGGGUGGUUCCAGUUUCAGAUUUCUUUGGCUUGAAGGUACAGUGAAGGUUUCAGAUAGGGCUGUAGUCAUCGGCGAGUUUAACUGGGUCUGCAGUAUAAAUUGGCAGAAGGCCUUGCACUGUACUGGCUUUUGGAAAAAGGCAUCAGUUCCUCAGAAUAUGGACCACUCCAGAGGGCUGCUUGAAUGUUAUAAUGACACGGCAGUUGGAUUCCCCCAAUAUAAGUGAUCCAGGAGAGACAGUAAGAGCAGUGCCAACCAUAAUUCCCAAAGAUACAAUCCCGAAUGCCAUAAUCCCAAACGUUAUUACCUCUAAAGAUCAAAAUCCCUAAAGUUAAAAAUCCCUAACAUUGAACCCCCCCAUCACAAUUAGUGCAUUUACAGUUGUACACAGGAUAGUGCAGCAUAUUAGACAGAACUAUUACCUUGUUAUUGUCGUUAUUUGGAAAUAAAGUAUGGUUUAAGGAGAUGCAUAUGGAUGCCAAGCUGACAAGGGGUAGACUUGUGGACUUAACCAUAAGUGUCAAUUUAACUGGAUUAAGGAAUGCCUGGAGAUCUGGUAAAACAUUGUUUUCAGUGUGCCUGGGUAUUUCCAGAGAUGAGUGUCUGAGUCUUAGUGGAUUGGGUGGGGAAGAUCUGCCUUCAAUAUUUCUAGUUUUUCAAAGGUCAUCAAAGAAAUGAAAAUGCAAGCAAAAAAUAUAAAAGGCCGGGUGCGGUGGCUCACUCCUGUAAUCCCAGCACUUUGGGAGGCCGAGGCCGACAGAUCACUUGAGGUUAGGGGUUUGAGGCCAGCCUGGCCAACAUGGUAAAACUCUAUCUCUACUAAAAAUACAAAAAGUAGCCAGGUGUGGGGCUGCAU
rnacentral:lncRNA from 1 species